rnacentral:rRNA from 1 species
ACGAACGCUGGCGGCGUGCUUAACACAUGCAAGUCGAACGGAAAGGCCCUGCUUUUGUGGGGUGCUCGAGUGGCGAACGGGUGAGUAACACGUGAGUAACCUGCCCUUGACUUUGGGAUAACUUCAGGAAACUGGGGCUAAUACCGGAUAGGAGCUCCUGCUGCAUGGUGGGGGUUGGAAAGUUUCGGCGGUUGGGGAUGGACUCGCGGCUUAUCAGCUUGUUGGUGGGGUAGUGGCUUACCAAGGCUUUGACGGGUAGCCGGCCUGAGAGGGUGACCGGCCACAUUGGGACUGAGAUACGGCCCAGACUCCUACGGGAGGCAGCAGUGGGGAAUAUUGCACAAUGGGCGGAAGCCUGAUGCAGCAACGCCGCGUGCGGGAUGACGGCCUUCGGGUUGUAAACCGCUUUCGCCUGUGACGAAGCGUGAGUGACGGUAAUGGGUAAAGAAGCACCGGCUAACUACGUGCCGGCAGCCGCGGUGAUACGUAGGGUGCGAGCGUUGUCCGGAUUUAUUGGGCGUAAAGGGCUCGUAGGUGGUUGAUCGCGUCGGAAGUGUAAUCUUGGGGCUUAACCCUGAGCGUGCUUUCGAUACGGGUUGACUUGAGGAAGGUAGGGGAGAAUGGAAUUCCUGGUGGAGCGGUGGAAUGCGCAGAUAUCAGGAGGAACACCAGUGGCGAAGGCGGUUCUCUGGGCCUUUCCUGACGCUGAGGAGCGAAAGCGUGGGGAGCGAACAGGCUUAGAUACCCUGGUAGUCCACGCUGUAAACGGUGGGUACUAGGUGUGGGGUCCAUUCCACGGGUUCCGUGCCGUAGCUAACGCUUUAAGUACCCCGCCUGGGGAGUACGGCCGCAAGGCUAAAACUCAAAGGAAUUGACGGGGCCCCGCACAAGCGGCGGAGCAUGCGGAUUAAUUCGAUGCAACGCGUAGAACCUUACCUGGGUUUGACAUGGAUCGGGAGUGCUCAGAGAUGGGUGUGCCUCUUUUGGGGUCGGUUCACAGGUGGUGCAUGGCUGUCGUCAGCUCGUGUCGUGAGAUGUUGGGUUAAGUCCCGCAACGAGCGCAACCCUUGUUCACUGUUGCCAGCACGUUAUGGUGGGGACUCAGUGGAGACCGCCGGGGUCAACUCGGAGGAAGGUGGGGAUGACGUCAAGUCAUCAUGCCCCUUAUGUCCAGGGCUUCACGCAUGCUACAAUGGCUGGUACAGAGAGUGGCGAGCCUGUGAGGGUGAGCGAAUCUCGGAAAGCCGGUCUCAGUUCGGAUUGGGGUCUGCAACUCGACCUCAUGAAGACGGAGUCGCUAGUAAUCGCAGAUCAGCAACGCUGCGGUGAAUACGUUCCCGGGGCUUGUACACACCGCCCGUCAAGUCAUGAAAGUUGGUAACACCCGAAGCCGGUGGCCUAACCGUUGUGGGGGAGCCGUCGAAGGUGGGACUGGUGAUUAGGACU